rnacentral:tRNA from 1 species
GGUGGGCGUAGCUCAGUUGGUAGAGCACGGGAUUGUGACUCCCGUUGUCGAGGGUUCGAUCCCCUUCGUCCACCCCAU